GCGGGGACGCGGCUGGAGCCUGCGCAUUUCUUCCUUCCUGCUUUCAAAGUUGCAAUGAGCGCAGAGCGGUGCGCCCGAGGGGGUUGAAGCGUUGAAAGUGUGUUACCCAGAUUUUAUCUGAGUUAAACACGGGCCGGCCGCUGUGGCUCACGUCUGUACUCCCAGAGCCUUGGGAGGUCGAGGCGGGAAGAUCGCUUGAGCCCGGGAGCUCGAGACCAGACGCGGCAACAUGGCGAGACGCACAUCUCUGCCUUUAAAAAUGAGAGGCUGGCGGUUACCUUUCUUGGGGAGACGCGUCCGACUGCUUCAUUGUGGGGGCCUCAGGAGCGGAGGAUCGGGUCCCGCCCGAGGUGACGCGUAAACCCAGACUCUCAGCAACGCGGGUAGGAAGGACCCUUGAAGUUCCGCGGCGACCACGUCGGCUGAAACCAGCAGCCCAGGACAAGUGGACCAGCCAGCAAGACCCAGACCAUCCAAACCGGCUGAUCCUACGACAGGACCCAGAUGCCAGUGAAAGUGACCACAGCCCUGCUCUAGUCACCCCGGAAGCUGACCAGUCUACGCACGGCCGAAGCUUCGUCAAGGAAGUAAAUGCCUCCACCCCUCGAAUUCCCAGUUCACCGACACCAGCCUGGGGAUCACCUCCUUGUCAGAAGUUGGAAAGAGGAAAAACUCAGCCAACCUGGGAAGGACUUUAUCGGGUGCUCCUGACCACCAAGAUGACGGUCGGAAAGGGCCCCAUCCCUGGAGGGAUCUUGGACCUUCACUCCAGGAUCAACGCCUUCCAAAUUAACAUUCAAAAAGGUUUAAUCUGUCUCUUCCUUCUCCCUGUAGCCGCCCAAGGACGUCUUAUUAUCAAUAUAAGGUGAUCACCCUUUCCCCAGCUAGUUUCGUUUGAUGCCUGUCUGGUUCAUAUACCCCGUAAAGAUAUCCACAGCCAAAGACAGCCUCUUCUGAAGAAAAUCCUUGGCCCAGCCCUUGUAGUAACCGGUACCCUGGGGUGCCAUUCCCUGUUGAAAUUCGCUCAGGAUGGUGGCAGAAAUAUUAAAGGGAAACAUUAGGUAAAGUUAGAGAAAAUAGUCACAAACCGGCCGGGCGUGGUGGCUCACGCCUGUCAUCCUAGCACUUCGGGAGGCCGAGGCAGGAGGAUCACGAGGUCAGGAGAUCGAGACAAUCCCGGCUAACAUGGUGAAAC
rnacentral:lncRNA from 10 species